AUAACAAUAAUAAGGGCGACCAUCAGGUCGCCCAUUUUGUAUCGACUCAACACUUUUGGUUUGGCCGCCGAUCAGUUGAGUUCGAUAUGAGUUCUGGCGUUACGCAUAGCUGGCUGUUAGCUCUAUUCCUUACUAGCUUCAUGACUAACAGUUUUUGUAACCGAAACCUGAGUUUAACUCAGGUUUUUUUAU
rnacentral:sRNA from 1 species